rnacentral:rRNA from 1 species
GCAAGUCGAACGUGAAGGCUGAGAUGAUUACUUCGGUUUGAUUCUUGGUUGGAAAGUGGCGAACGGGUGAGUAACACGUGGGUGACCUGCCUCGGAGUGGGGGAUAACCAUUGGAAACGAUUGCUAAUACCGCAUUGUCCUAUCUGGUUUGGAAGCAGAUAGGUAAAGCUCUGGCGCUCUGAGAGGGGCCUGCGGCCGAUGAGCUUGUUGGUGGGGUAAUGGCCUACCAAGGCGGUGAUCGGUAGCUGGUCUGAGAGGACGAUC